UACGUAGGGGGCUAGCGUUGUCCGGAAUCAUUGGGCGUAAAGAGCGUGUAGGCGGCUCGGUAAGUCCGCUGUAAAAGUCAAAGGCUCAACCUUUUGAAUGUCAGUGGAUACUGCCGGGCUAGAGUCCGGAAGAGGCGAGUGGAACUCCUGGUGUAGCGGUGGAAUGCGCAGAUAUCAGGAAGAACACCAACGGCGAAGGCAGCUCGCUGGGGCGGUACUGACGCUGAGACGCGAAAGCCAGGGGAGCAAACGGG
rnacentral:rRNA from 1 species